UUGCUUCUUGGGUGGCGAGUGGCGAACGGGUGAGUAACAUAUCGGAACGUACCGAGUAAUGGGGGAUAACUAAUCGAAAGAUUAGCUAAUACCGCAUAUUCUCUGAGGAGGAAAGCAGGGGACCUUCGGGCCUUGCGUUAUUCGAGCGGCCGAUAUCUGAUUAGCUAGUUGGUGGGGUAAAGGCCUACCAAGGCGACGAUCAGUAGCGGGUCUGAGAGGAUGAUCCGCCACACUGGGACUGAGACACGGCCCAGACUCCUACGGGAGGCAGCAGUGGGGAAUUUUGGACAAUGGGCGCAAGCCUGAUCCAGCCAUGCCGCGUGUCUGAAGAAGGCCUUCGGGUUGUAAAGGACUUUUGUCAGGGAAGAAAAGGACAGGGUUAAUACCUCUGUUUGAUGACGGUACCUGAAGAAUAAGCACCGGCUAACUACGUGCCAGCAGCCGCGGUAAUACGUAGGGUGCGAGCGUUAAUCGGAAUUACUGGGCGUAAAGCGAGCGCAGACGGUUACUUAAGCAGGAUGUGAAAUCCCCGGGCUCAACCUGGGAACUGCGUUCUGAACUGGGUGACUAGAGUGUGUCAGAGGGAGGUAGAAUUCCACGUGUAGCAGUGAAAUGCGUAGAGAUGUGGAGGAAUACCGAUGGCGAAGGCAG
rnacentral:rRNA from 1 species